rnacentral:rRNA from 1 species
GACGGAUGGGGCUAGCGUUGUUCGGAAUUACUGGGCGUAAAGGGCGCGUAGGUGGUUAAUUAAGUUAGGCGUGAAAGCCCUGGGCUCAACCUAGGAACUGCGUUUAAUACUGGUUAACUAGAGUAUGGUAGAGGAAAGCGGAAUUCCUAGUGUAGAGGUGAAAUUCGUAGAUAUUAGGAAGAACACCAGAGGCGAAGGCGGCUUUCUGGACCAUUACUGACACUGAGGCGCGAAAGCGUGGGGAGCAAACAGG